CGCCAAGACACUAGAACGGCAGAGGCCGCGGGGCUGGAGGCUGCAGGGGUGACUCCCCUGCCGGAUCUGGCCAAGCCCCCUGCCAGUCCAGGCCGUUUACCUUCCAGUCACACCAAGAACUAAAACAGCAUCAGCCAAAGCUUUUGAAAAAACCCAAACUGGACAGAGAGUUGCUGAAUUUUUAUAAUGACAGAGGCUUCCAGGAGGAGUGACACGUAUCCCUGCUGGAUGAGCUCACAGUUCCAGUAGGAAGACACAAGCUGAAGGAUUGCAGCAGGAAUGGUUCUUUUGCCUGCUGCCAUGUAGAUGUGCCUUUGCUUCUCUUUCGCCUUCUACCAUGAUUGUUAGUUUCCUGAGGCCGCCCCAGCCACAUAGAACUGUGAGUCAAUUAAGCCUUUUCUUCAUAAAUUACCCAGCAUUGGGUAUAUCUUUAUAGCAAUGUGGGAAUAGACUAAUAUAUCCAGUGAUGAUACUGAUGCAUAUAAUAGAUUUUCCAGAGCGAGACUUGCAAGGAUUAAGACGCUUUCCUAGAACAUAGCUAGUUCUAGUCCCCAAAGGAAAGUACAUCCAGAGAAUUGGAUUAAAUAAAGCCAAAAAUUUGACUUCA
rnacentral:lncRNA from 13 species